CUCAAGUCUGUUAAUAUACUGUAUUACAUUUAUUGAUUUACCUAUGUUGAACCAUCCUUCCAUCCCUGAGAUGAAUCCUCACUUGGUCAGGGUGUAUGAUCUUCUUGAUGGUCCUCUGUAUUCUGUUUGCCAGUAUCUUGUUGAGGAUUUUUGCAUCUGUGUUCAUUAGGGGGAUUGGCCUGUAGUUCUCUUUUUUGGUUGGGUCUUUCUCUGCUUUUGGAAUCAAAGUAAUGCCUGCUUCCAGGAAUGAAUUUGGGAGUAUUGCUUCCCUUUCAAUGUAAUUAAAGUUUGAGAAGUAAUGGCAUUAGCUUUUCCCUAAAUUUUUUGUAGAAUUCAGGAGUGAAGCCAUCAGUACUUGUUUUUACUUUGUUUUUGAGGAAGGGUCUUCCUCUGGAGCUCAGGGUAGUCUUGAACUCACUAGGUAGCCAAGGCUGGCCUUGAACUUGCAGUGAUCCUUCUGCCUCAGCCUCCCAAGUGCUGAGAUUACAGGCACAUGCACCACUAUGUCUUGCAAAAAAAAACUACACUUAUUGUUUUGUUUAGCGCCUAGCUGUCCAUUAGAGCAACUUCUGGUUGUGCAUUAUGUGUGUGGUAGUACUGGGAGUUGAAUCUGGGGCACUCUAUACCACUGAGCCUUUUCUGUUGAGACAGGAUCUUGCUAAGUUGCCUACACUAGCUUUGAACUUGAAAUCUUCCCGUCUCAGCCUCAUGAGUAGCUGAAAUUACAGAUGUGAACCACCACACAUGGCUCCAAUAUAGAGCUCUUAAAGAAUUGGAAUGUGGAUACUCCAGAUCUGAGCAGAUCUGCUAGAAAAUAUUUUGUUUUUUAUGAUACUGGGAAUCAAAUAAGGCUGUACACUUGCCAGACAGGUUCUAUACUACUGAGCUGCUCCCCCUAACCCUAGUAGAAACUUUUGUUUUGUUUUGUUUUUCUGGUACCGGAGAUUGAACACGGGUCCUUGUGCUUGUGCAGCAGGUGGCAAAACCACUGAGCUAAAUCCCCGGCCCCCCAGUAGAAACUUUGAUACUGUUUGUCUUGCUGUAUAGUCCAGGCCAGCUUUGAACUCAUAAGCCUCCUGUUUUAGCCUUCCAAGUGCUGGGGUUAUAGGUGCAUGGCAUCAUCCUCAGCUCUACUAGAAACUUCUAGAUGGACAGGUGUGGUGGUUCAUGGCUGAAAUCUCCGAACUUAGAAGCCCGAGGCAGGAAGAUUGCCAUUUCAAGGCCAGCUGGGACUACAUAGCUCAAAGUUAAGUACAUAGUGAAACACUGUCUAAAUAAAUAAAUAGGCUGGGGAUGCACUCAAUGCAGAGGCCCUGGGUCCAAUUCCCUAGUACCAGAAGAAAGGAGGUUGAGGCUGGAUGAUUCCAUGUUCAAGGCCAGCCUGGGCAACACAGCAAGACUCUGUCUCUGGGCCGGAGAUUUAGCUCAGUGGUGCCGCCACCUGCCUUGAAAGCGCAGGGUCCUGAGUUUGAUCCCCGGUACCAAAAAAAAAAAAAAAACUGUCUCAGAAACAACAAUGAAACAAAGUCUAAUCAAUACUUCCCCAGAAAUUUGAGAAGCUACUGCAUCCAUAAAGAACAGAUUUCUGUGUAAAGAAAAUGGAGUUAGUACAAAUUAAGGCAGUUGUGAAAAUUAAAAUGAUAAAGGCUUAUAAACAUGGCGCUGAGAAGGCUAUAUCACUGCAAGAUGAAAGAUAAGCCGGGGAUUUAGCUCAGUGGCACGGUGCCUGCCUCACAAGCA
ensembl:lncRNA